rnacentral:rRNA from 1 species
GAUGAACGCUGGCGGCGUGCCUAAUACAUGCAAGUCGAGCGAACAGAUGAGGAGCUUGCUCCUCUGACGUUAGCGGCGGACGGGUGAGUAACACGUGGAUAACCUACCUAUAAGACUGGGAUAACUUCGGGAAACCGGAGCUAAUACCGGAUAAUAUAUUGAACCGCAUGGUUCAAUAGUGAAAGACGGUUUUGCUGUCACUUAUAGAUGGAUCCGCGCCACAUUAGCUAGUUGGUAAGGUAACGGCUUACCAAGGCAACGAUGCGUAGCCGACCUGAGAGGGUGAUCGGCCACCCUGGACCUGAGACACGGUCCAGACUCCUACGGGAGGCAGCAGUAGGGAAUCUUCCGCAAUGGGCGAAAGCCUGACGGAGCAACGCCGCGUGAGUGAUGAAGGUCUUCGGAUCGUAAAACUCUGUUAUUAGGGAAGAACAAAUGUGUAAGUAACUAUGCACGUCUUGACGGUACCUAAUCAGAAAGCCACGGCUAACUACGU